GGGAAUGUCGGGAUAGCUCA
rnacentral:tRNA from 1 species